GAACGCGAAGAACCUUACCAAGGCUUGACAUGCACGGCGGCACUGCAGAGAUGUGGUGGCAUUUAGUUGGUCGUGUGCAGGUGGUGCAUGGUUGUCGUCAGCUCGUGUCGUGAGAUGUUGGGUUAAGUCCCGCAACGAGCGCAACCCUUGCCCUAUGUUGCCAGCACGUGAUGGUGGGGACUCGUGGGGGACUGCCGGGGUUAACUCGGAGGAAGGUGGGGAUGACGUCAAAUCAUCAUGCCCCUUAUGUCUUGGGCUUCACGCAUGCUACAAUGGUUGGUACAGAGGGUUGCGAAAUCGUGAGUGGAGCGAAUCCCUUAAAGCCAGUCUCAGUUCGGAUUGGGGUCUGCAACUCGACCCCAUGAAGGUGGAGUCGCUAGUAAUCGCAGAUCAGCAACGCUGCGGUGAAUACGUUCUCGGGUCUUGUACACACC
rnacentral:rRNA from 1 species